CCUACGGGUGGCUGCAGUGGGGAAUAUUGCACAAUGGGCGCAAGCCUGAUGCAGCCAUGCCGCGUGUGUGAAGAAGGCCUUCGGGUUGUAAAGCACUUUCAGCGGGGAGGAAGGCGGUGAGGUUAAUAACCUCAUCGAUUGACGUUACCCGCAGAAGAAGCACCGGCUAACUCCGUGCCAGCAGCCGCGGUAAUACGGAGGGUGCAAGCGUUAAUCGGAAUUACUGGGCGUAAAGCGCACGCAGGCGGUCUGUCAAGUCGGAUGUGAAAUCCCCGGGCUCAACCUGGGAACUGCAUUCGAAACUGGCAGGCUAGAGUCUGGUAGAGGGGGGUAGAAUUCCAGGUGUAGCGGUGAAAUGCGUAGAGAUCUGGAGGAAUACCGGUGGCGAAGGCGGCCCCCUGGACAAAGACUGACGCUCAGGUGCGAAAGCGUGGGGAGCAAACAGGAUUAGAUACCCCUGUAGUC
rnacentral:rRNA from 1 species